GGGUUGUGAGGUUAAGCGACUAAGCGUACACGGUGGAUGCCCUGGCAGUCAGAGGCGAUGAAGGACGUGCUAAUCUGCGAUAAGCGUCGGUAAGGUGAUAUGAACCGUUAUAACCGGCGAUUUCCGAAUGGGGAAACCCAGUGUGAUUCGUCACACUAUCAUUAACUGAAUCCAUAGGUUAAUGAGGCGAACCGGGGGAACUGAAACAUCUAAGUACCCCGAGGAAAAGAAAUCAACCGAGAUUCCCCCAGUAGCGGCGAGCGAACGGGGAGCAGCCCAGAGCCUGAAUCAGUGUGUGUGUUAGUGGAAGCGUCUGGAAAGGCGUGCGAUACAGGGUGACAGCCCCGUACACAAAAAUGCACAUGCUGUGAGCUCGAUGAGUAGGGCGGGACACGUGGUAUCCUGUCUGAAUAUGGGGGGACCAUCCUCCAAGGCUAAAUACUCCUGACUGACCGAUAGUGAACCAGUACCGUGAGGGAAAGGCGAAAAGAACCCCGGCGAGGGGAGUGAAAAAGAACCUGAAACCGUGUACGUACAAGCAGUGGGAGCACGCUUAGGCGUGUGACUGCGUACCUUUUGUAUAAUGGGUCAGCGACUUAUAUUCUGUAGCAAGGUUAACCGAAUAGGGGAGCCGAAGGGAAACCGAGUCUUAACUGGGCGUUAAGUUGCAGGGUAUAGACCCGAAACCCGGUGAUCUAGCCAUGGGCAGGUUGAAGGUUGGGUAACACUAACUGGAGGACCGAACCGACUAAUGUUGAAAAAUUAGCGGAUGACUUGUGGCUGGGGGUGAAAGGCCAAUCAAACCGGGAGAUAGCUGGUUCUCCCCGAAAGCUAUUUAGGUAGCGCCUCGUGAAUUCAUCUCCGGGGGUAGAGCACUGUUUCGGCAAGGGGGUCAUCCCGACUUACCAACCCGAUGCAAACUGCGAAUACCGGAGAAUGUUAUCACGGGAGACACACGGCGGGUGCUAACGUCCGUCGUGAAGAGGGAAACAACCCAGACCGCCAGCUAAGGUCCCAAAGUCAUGGUUAAGUGGGAAACGAUGUGGGAAGGCCCAGACAGCCAGGAUGUUGGCUUAGAAGCAGCCAUCAUUUAAAGAAAGCGUAAUAGCUCACUGGUCGAGUCGGCCUGCGCGGAAGAUGUAACGGGGCUAAACCAUGCACCGAAGCUGCGGCAGCGACGCUUAUGCGUUGUUGGGUAGGGGAGCGUUCUGUAAGCCUGUGAAGGUGUACUGUGAGGUAUGCUGGAGGUAUCAGAAGUGCGAAUGCUGACAUAAGUAACGAUAAAGCGGGUGAAAAGCCCGCUCGCCGGAAGACCAAGGGUUCCUGUCCAACGUUAAUCGGGGCAGGGUGAGUCGACCCCUAAGGCGAGGCCGAAAGGCGUAGUCGAUGGGAAACAGGUUAAUAUUCCUGUACUUGGUGUUACUGCGAAGGGGGGACGGAGAAGGCUAUGUUGGCCGGGCGACGGUUGUCCCGGUUUAAGCGUGUAGGCUGGUUUUCCAGGCAAAUCCGGAAAAUCAAGGCUGAGGCGUGAUGACGAGGCACUACGGUGCUGAAGCAACAAAUGCCCUGCUUCCAGGAAAAGCCUCUAAGCAUCAGGUAACAUCAAAUCGUACCCCAAACCGACACAGGUGGUCAGGUAGAGAAUACCAAGGCGCUUGAGAGAACUCGGGUGAAGGAACUAGGCAAAAUGGUGCCGUAACUUCGGGAGAAGGCACGCUGAUAUGUAGGUGAAGUCCCUCGCGGAUGGAGCUGAAAUCAGUCGAAGAUACCAGCUGGCUGCAACUGUUUAUUAAAAACACAGCACUGUGCAAACACGAAAGUGGACGUAUACGGUGUGACGCCUGCCCGGUGCCGGAAGGUUAAUUGAUGGGGUUAGCGCAAGCGAAGCUCUUGAUCGAAGCCCCGGUAAACGGCGGCCGUAACUAUAACGGUCCUAAGGUAGCGAAAUUCCUUGUCGGGUAAGUUCCGACCUGCACGAAUGGCGUAAUGAUGGCCAGGCUGUCUCCACCCGAGACUCAGUGAAAUUGAACUCGCUGUGAAGAUGCAGUGUACCCGCGGCAAGACGGAAAGACCCCGUGAACCUUUACUAUAGCUUGACACUGAACAUUGAGCCUUGAUGUGUAGGAUAGGUGGGAGGCUUUGAAGUGUGGACGCCAGUCUGCAUGGAGCCGACCUUGAAAUACCACCCUUUAAUGUUUGAUGUUCUAACGUUGACCCGUGAUCCGGGUUGCGGACAGUGUCUGGUGGGUAGUUUGACUGGGGCGGUCUCCUCCUAAAGAGUAACGGAGGAGCACGAAGGUUGGCUAAUCCUGGUCGGACAUCAGGAGGUUAGUGCAAUGGCAUAAGCCAGCUUGACUGCGAGCGUGACGGCGCGAGCAGGUGCGAAAGCAGGUCAUAGUGAUCCGGUGGUUCUGAAUGGAAGGGCCAUCGCUCAACGGAUAAAAGGUACUCCGGGGAUAACAGGCUGAUACCGCCCAAGAGUUCAUAUCGACGGCGGUGUUUGGCACCUCGAUGUCGGCUCAUCACAUCCUGGGGCUGAAGUAGGUCCCAAGGGUAUGGCUGUUCGCCAUUUAAAGUGGUACGCGAGCUGGGUUUAGAACGUCGUGAGACAGUUCGGUCCCUAUCUGCCGUGGGCGCUGGAGAACUGAGGGGGGCUGCUCCUAGUACGAGAGGACCGGAGUGGACGCAUCACUGGUGUUCGGGUUGUCAUGCCAAUGGCACUGCCCGGUAGCUAAAUGCGGAAGAGAUAAGUGCUGAAAGCAUCUAAGCACGAAACUUGCCCCGAGAUGAGUUCUCCCUGACUCCUUGAGAGUCCUGAAGGAACGUUGAAGACGACGACGUUGAUAGGCCGGGUGUGUAAGCGCAGCGAUGCGUUGAGCUAACCGGUACUAAUGAACCGUGAGGCUUAACCUUACAACGCCGAAGGUGUUU
rnacentral:rRNA from 1 species